ensembl:lncRNA
GGCCCGCCGUCCUCCGUGGGCGGGGGAGGGAAGCAGGUGGAUGAUCCGACUCCAGCCGUCAAGGCCCCCUGACCUGUCCUGCCCUCCUCUUGCCGUGACUUACGCUUGGAAAGGAGCUAGCAUUUCUGGUUGGGCGUGUUUUAUUUAUAGUGCAAGAACAUCCACCGCAUUCCCCACAAAGUGGGCCGAUGUAGCUACCAGCCUCUCGGGCCAGCCGGAGCCCAUCGGCAGGUCCCACGGAGCAGGAGCCCCCCUGUCGCGAGCCGUUCGCAGCCCGGGACCAGAAAGGACGGGGACGCCCGCAGCCGAGAUGGGUGUUUAUGCGGAUGGGCUCAGGCACCAGGGGCACCUCGCUCUCUGCGAGUUUCCUCCAACCACGUCUCGCGUUCAGGUGCCCGGAAAGCGCAGGUUAUUUCUGCCUGGACGUUGGCGGGAACCAGCCUGUGGGCAGAUCCAUCCGGUGGAGACUUUUGUAAAGGCACACCUUCCUGAGACCAUCGGACAGAUGCAGCUUCAGGACACCUGUGACUCACAACCGAAGGUCUCCUGAGCUCAGGGGUGCAGAAAACCCCUGUGGCGCUGCCACGCAGGAGUGCCAGGACCCCAGCCUUCUCUCCUCGGGAAAAAAUGCGCAACCUAGAAGUUGGGAGAUGUGUGUUAUUCAGCAGACAAAACCGAGGACUUAAGCUGGGAUACAGGGGGUCAGAGAAUUCUGAGAAACUGCAUCAAAGAGGCCAGGAGUCUUUGCCACAAAGACCAGGCGAAAGAACAUCAAAGAUGGCUGUUGACUGAAGAAAACCAGACGUCCCAAACGAGGGAGCCGAGCGCCCUUCUAGGCCUGGGGAGAUGCCAGAGGCUGGGGCGUGGAAGCCAGGCCUUCGCUGUGCACCUCAGCUCCCUGAGUGUCCUGAGUUUUCUCACCCCGAGUUUCCUUAGGCUGCACCUUCGGGGGCGGGGGGUUGGCUGCAGGGCGGGCUCGUCUCCUCCCUGAGUUCCCCGGGGGCCCGUCCCUCCUCUGCUCUGAGGGGGAGGCUGGGAUGUGUGGGCUCGACGGCGGCAGCCUCCUCUGUUUACCGAUACGGCAGCAGCCUGGUUCACUCGCAUCGCUGACUCCCCGGGCACGGCUUUCUCACUGGUGUCACGGGCAGUGGUGGGUCUACUUGACCAGUGACCCUUGGACAGGGCCCCUAAACCACGUCUGGCCCAGUGUGCAAAUGGCUGAACCCAACUCUCAGACCUGCCCAACUUUUUGCCUUUCCUUUUUUCCAAAUUUCAGGGCACCUUUCUUUUUUUGGGUCUUUUUAGGACUGCACUCUCGGCAUAUGAAGGUUCCCAGGCUAAGGGUCAAAUUGGAGCUAUAGCUGCCGACCAACACCACAGCCACAGCCACAUCCACGCCAGAUCUGAGCCGCCUCUUUGACCUACACCACAGCUCCCGGCAAUGCCAGGUCCUUAACCACCGAGCAAGGCCAGGGGUGGGACCUGUGACCUCACGGAUGCUCGUCAGACUCAUGUCCGCUGCGCCGUGACGGGACCUCCCAGGGCACCUU